AUCGCAAGGAACAGCAGUCCACAUAAAGUACUUCUCCUGUUUCUAGUGGAGUUUCCUGGAGGUCCGGCCUGGGUUUCAGGACCUUUGUUAUUUCAUCAUGGCAGUCGUGUGGUUCCCCCUCUUCCUCAGUGGGAAGUAGGGUGGCCGGAUUCAGAGUUGAGCAUCUUUCAAUAGUGACAUUUGACAGGGUACAGAGUACAUUUUAAUACUUUAUUGCCCUUGCAGUAGUGAGGUAGUUCACCACGUUUCCCUCACUUGUUCAUGUACUCUAUCUGUAAGGCACUACGCAGA